CCUACGGGAGGCAGCAGUGAGGAAUAUUGGUCAAUGGGCUUACGCCUGAACCAGUCAAGUCGCGUGAGGGAAGACUGCCCUAUGGGUGGUAAACCUCUUUUGUCAGGGAGCAACGCCGGCUACGUGUAGCCGGACUGAGAGUACCUGAAGAAAAAGCAUCGGCUAACUACGUACCAGCAGCCGCGUUAUUCAGGGGUAUGCGAGCGUUAGCGGGAUUUAUUGGGUUUAAAGGGAGCGUAGAAGGGAUGUUAAGUCAGUUGUGAAAGUUUGCGGCUAAACCGUAAACUUUCAAUUGUUACUGGAAGUCGUGAGUACAGUUGAGGUAGGCGGAAUUCGUGGUGUAGCGGUGAAAUGCUUAGAUAUCACGAAGAACCCCGAGUGCGAAGGCAGCUUACUAAACUGUGACUGACAUUGAUGCUCGAAAGUGUGGGUAUCAAACAGGAUUAGAUACCCUAGUAGUC
rnacentral:rRNA from 1 species